GCCUCGGUGGCUACGAGGCGAGAGCGCCGGCCUGCGGACCCCCAGGUGGCGGGUUCGAAUCCCGACCGAGGUG
rnacentral:tRNA from 1 species